UGUUUGGUUAGUCCCGCAACGUUCCGCAACCCCUAUGGUUAGUUACCAGCACAUAAUGGUGGGGACUCUAAUCAGACUGCCUACGCAAGUAGUGAGGAAGGUGGGGACGACGUCAAGUCAUCAUGGCCCUUACGUCCAGGGCUGCACACGUGCUACAAUGGUUGGAACAAUGGGUGGCUACCUCGCGAGGGGAUGCUAAUCUCCAAAUCCAAUCUCAGUUCGGAUCGUAGUCUGCAACUCGACUACGUGAAGUUGGAAUCGCUAGUAAUCGCGUAUCAGCAACGACGCGGUGAAUACGUUCCCGGGCCUUGUACACACCGCCCGUCAAGCGAUGGAAGUGGGGAGUACCUGACGCCGCCGCGCUAACCUUCGGGGGGCCGGUGUCCAGGGUAAGACUCAUAACUGGCGCUAAGUCGUAACAAGGUAGCCGUACCGGAAGGUGCGGCUGGAUCAC
rnacentral:rRNA from 1 species